rnacentral:rRNA from 1 species
GAUCAUGGCUCAGGAUUAACGCUGGCGGCGUGCCUAAUACAUGCAAGUCGAAUGGUAGCAAUACCAUGGCGAACGGGUGAGUAACACGUAGGUAACCUGUCUUUAAGCCGAGGAUAACCAUUGGAAACGAUGGAUAAUACUGGAUAGGACAUUUGAAGGCAUCUUUAGAUGUUUAAAGAUUUAUCACUUAGAGAGGGGCCUGCGGCGCAUUAGCUAGUUGGUGAGGUGAAGGCUUACCAAGGCGAUGAUGCGUAGCCGGACUGAGAGGUUGAACGGCCACAAUGGAACUGAGAACGGUCCAUACUCCUACGGGAGGCAGCAGUAGGGAAUUUUCGGCAAUGGGCGGAAGCCUGACCGAGCAACGCCGCGUGAACGAAGAAGUAUUUCGGUACGUAAAGUUCUUUUAUUAGGGACGAAAAGACAGAUUGACGGUACCUAAUGAAUAAGCUCCGGCUAACUACGUGCCAGCAGCAGC